CCUACGGGAGGCUGCAGUGAGGAAUAUUGGUCAAUGGACGAGAGUCUGAACCAGCCAAGUAGCGUGAAGGAUGACUGCCCUAUGGGUUGUAAACUUCUUUUAUAAAGGAAUAAAACGAGGCACGUGUGCCUUUUUGCAUGUACUUUAUGAAUAAGGAUCGGCUAACUCCGUGCCAGCAGCCGCGGUAAUACGGAGGAUCCGAGCGUUAUCCGGAUUUAUUGGGUUUAAAGGGAGCGUAGUUGGGUUGUUAAGUCAGUUGUGAAAGUUUGCGGCUCAACCGUAAAAUUGCAAUUGAUACUGGCAGACUUGAGUACAGUAGAGGUAGGCGGAAUGCGUGGUGUAGCGGUGAAAUGCAUAGAUAUCACGAAGAACCCCGAUUGCGAAGGCAGCUUACUAAACUGUGACUGACAUUGAUGCUCGAAAGUGUGGGUAUCAAACAGGAUUAGAUACCCUUGUAGUC
rnacentral:rRNA from 1 species